rnacentral:lncRNA from 1 species
CUGGAAAUUAUCAAUNCUGGAUUCGCCACUACAUGGUGGGUUACUUAAAAGUCAUGGAACUGUAGACUUUAAGGGUGAAUUUGACCGCCUACUAGCCUCGGCCCAAGAUAGGCAAGCAACCACUUAUCGUCCUAGGGCAGGCGAUGCAUCUAGCUGACCCUUAAGCGUUGACGGCUUGUUGAAAGGACUUUUACAAAAGGAUGGGUACGACAUCGGCAAUCACACGUGUUACACGGCCAACUCUCAUUUGAAACAGAAAAGAUAGCGAUCACUACUCUUGUCACAACUCAUUCCAAAUCACCCUCAUUGACACGAUAUGUGUCGUGCACUGAUGGUAGAUACCAGCUAAGCGCCCAUCCCAGCAG